rnacentral:rRNA from 1 species
UACAGAGGGGGCAAGCGUUGUUCGGAAUUACUGGGCGUAAAGGGCGCGUAGGCGGCCCGCUAAGUCGAACGUGAAAUCCCCGAGCUCAACUCGGGAACUGCGUCCGAUACUGGCGGGCUUGAAUCCGGGAGAGGGAUGCGGAAUUCCACGUGUAGCGGUGAAAUGCGUAGAGAUGUGGAGGAACACCAGUGGCGAAGGCGACUCUUUGGCCUGUAACUGACGCUGAGGCGCGAAAGCGUGGGGAGCAAACAGG